UGUGUGUGUGUGUGUGUGUAUAUAGAUAGAUAGAUAGAUAGAUAGAAAUAGAGAUGAAGAGAUAGGUAGUCAGGCAGGUUGAUUGAUAGAUAAGUAAAGUAAAUGGCUUGAUGGAUAGGAGUGGAUUUGUUGCUGCAAAGACAGACACAUAGAACACGAAGCGGGGGAGGGGACUUAAGAUCAAUGACAAGGGGGGAAGAGAUAGGAAAGGAUUAGUUAAAGAGACAGGAAAGAGAGUGGGGCAGGGUAGGUCUAUGUCCACAUGACAUGCAAAUAAAUAUGGUUAGGAAGUGUCCAAUACACACACACACACAUUCAUACAUACAAACAUACACUUAUCUAGCAGUGGAUGUUGGUGUAGAGGUAAGAGGCACAAGGAUUCUUAAAUAGACAAGGAAUUCAAGGGACAGAUUGCUGUUAAAUCUGAAAUUAACCAGGGUCAAUUCUAAACAGAUGAGUUUCACAUACAUGCUGUGAGAUACUGCUAUUUAGCAUCCACUGAGGAUUACUCGUAUAGCUGUAUGAAACCCUGAUAUGCAUAGAUAUUGUUAUAUAGUUUUAUACCCCACACAUGUAUAACAAGCUUUACCAAAAGUAUAUAAUUGUAUCAAAUUUUGGCACCAGGCCAGCGAGUUCAGGGAAGGGGCCAGGUUGGUUACAUUGACCCCAGUGAUUGACUGGUAGUUAUUUUAUCAAUCCUGAAAAGGAUGAAAGGCAAAGUUAACCUCAGCAGAAUCUGAGCUCAGAAGGUAAGGACAGAUGAUAUGCCGCCAAGCAUUUUACCUGGUGUGCCAAUAAUUCUGCCAGCUUGCCACCCUGCCAGAGGCAAUAUAUUCACCAUUUUAUAUUCUAUACUCUGCACAAUGACUGUUCAAUGAACAUCUAUGACAUAGUCUUCACUUAUACACACAGUUCAUACUUUAUACUUUCCACGCAGUAGAUUCUUGCAUAUAAUUCACACAUACAUUACACUCUUGGAGUGGUUGGCGUUAGGAAGGGCAUCCAGCUGUAGAAACUCUG